rnacentral:rRNA from 1 species
AGCUCCAUUAGCGUAUAUUAAAGUUGUUGCAGUUAAAAAGCUCGUAGUUGGAUUUCGGUGUGGGCCCGUCGGUCGGCCGCAAGGCCUGUUACUGACUGGUCCGCUCUUCCUCUCAAAGACUGCACGUGCCCUUCGCUGGGUGUGUGUAUCGGAUUUGGGACGUUUACUUUGAAAAAAUUAGAGUGUUCAAAGCAAGUAUUAUUUCUUGAAUACAUUAGCAUGGAAUAAUAAGAUAGGACUUGGGUAAUAUUUUGUUGGUUUGCAUAUCCAGGUAAUGAUUAAUAGGAACAUAUUGGGGAUAUCUGUAUUUUUUAGUCAGAGGUGAAAUUCUUGGAUUUAAGAAAGACAAACUACAGCGAAAGCAUUUAUCAAGGAUGUUUUCAUUGAUCAAGAACGAAAG